GUCCCCGUGGCCCAAUCGGUAGAGGCGGCCAGCUUAAAUCUGGCACAUGUGCGGGUUCGAAUCCUGUCGGGGACA
rnacentral:tRNA from 4 species